rnacentral:rRNA from 1 species
AUUGAACGCUGGCGGCAGGCCUAACACAUGCAAGUCGGACGGUAGCACAGAGGAGCUUGCUCCUCGGGUGACGAGUGGCGGACGGGUGAGUAAUGUCUGGGGAUCUGCCCGAUAGAGGGGGAUAACCACUGGAAACGGUGGCUAAUACCGCAUAACGUCGCUAGACCAAAGAGGGGGACCUUCGGGCCUCUCACUAUCGGAUGAACCCAGAUGGGAUUAGCUAGUAGGCGGGGUAACGGCCCACCUAGGCGACGAUCCCUAGCUGGUCUGAGAGGAUGACCAGCCACACUGGAACUGAGACACGGUCCAGACUCCUACGGGAGGCAGCAGUGGGGAAUAUUGCACAAUGGGCGCAAGCCUGAUGCAGCCAUGCCGCGUGUAUGAAGAAGGCCUUCGGGUUGUAAAGUACUUUCAGCGGGGAGGAAGGCGAUGUGGUUAAUAACCGCAUUGAUUGACGUUACCCGCAGAAGAAGCACCGCUAACUCCGUGCCAGCCGCCGCGGUAAAAC